rnacentral:rRNA from 1 species
GGGACACGUGGUAUCCUGUCUGAAUAUGGGGGGACCAUCCUCCAAGGCUAAAUACUCCUGACUGACCGAUAGUGAACCAGUACCGUGAGGGAAAGGCGAAAAGAACCCCGGCGAGGGGAGUGAAAAAGAACCUGAAACCGUGUACGUACAAGCAGUGGGAGCCUCUUUUAUGGGGUGACUGCGUACCUUUUGUAUAAUGGGUCAGCGACUUAUAUUCUGUAGCAAGGUUAACCGAAUAGGGGAGCCGAAGGGAAACCGAGUCUUAACUGGGCGUUAAGUUGCAGGGUAUAGACCCGAAACCCGGUGAUCUAGCCAUGGGCAGGUUGAAGGUUGGGUAACACUAACUGGAGGACCGAACCGACUAAUGUUGAAAAAUUAGCGGAUGACUUGUGGCUGGGGGUGAAAGGCCAAUCAAACCGGGAGAUAGCUGGUUCUCCCCGAAAGCUAUUUAGGUAGCGCCUCGUGAACUCAUCUCCGGGGGUAGAGCACUGUUUCGGCAAGGGGGUCAUCCCGACUUACCAACCCGAUGCAAACUGCGAAUACCGGAGAAUGUUAUCACGGGAGACACACGGCGGGUGCUAACGUCCGUCGUGAAGAGGGAAACAACCCAGACCGCCAGCUAAGGUCCCAAAGUCAUGGUUAAGUGGGAAACGAUGUGGGAAGGCCCAGACAGCCAGGAUGUUGGCUUAGAAGCAGCCAUCAUUUAAAGAAAGCGUAAUAGCUCACUGGUCGAGUCGGCCUGCGCGGAAGAUGUAACGGGGCUAAACCAUGCACCGAAGCUGCGGCAGCGACACUAUGUGUUGUUGGGUAGGGGAGCGUUCUGUAAGCCUGUGAAGGUGUACUGUGAGGUAUGCUGGAGGUAUCAGAAGUGCGAAUGCUGACAUAAGUAACGAUAAAGCGGGUGAAAAGCCCGCUCGCCGGAAGACCAAGGGUUCCUGUCCAACGUUAAUCGGGGCAGGGUGAGUCGACCCCUAAGGCGAGGCCGAAAGGCGUAGUCGAUGGGAAACAGGUUAAUAUUCCUGUACUUGGUGUUACUGCGAAGGGGGGACGGAGAAGGCUAUGUUGGCCGGGCGACGGUUGUCCCGGUUUAAGCGUGUAGGCUGGUUUUCCAGGCAAAUCCGGAAAAUCAAGGCUGAGGCGUGAUGACGAGGCACUACGGUGCUGAAGCAACAAAUGCCCUGCUUCCAGGAAAAGCCUCUAAGCAUCAGGUAACAUCAAAUCGUACCCCAAACCGACACAGGUGGUCAGGUAGAGAAUACCAAGGCGCUUGAGAGAACUCGGGUGAAGGAACUAGGCAAAAUGGUGCCGUAAC